rnacentral:tRNA from 1 species
GCCCUAAUAGCUCAGCAUCAGAGCGC